rnacentral:lncRNA from 1 species
AAAAAUAACUACUUAUAAAAUUAUAAAAAUAAAUAGGAAACAACAAUAACCCCCACGAAGAAAUCUCAAGCUCGAUCAAUUUUACCAGUGGAAACAUAUAAAACGAGAGAGAAAUGGACUUAAACACCAAACACUGACUUAUUAAGAUACCCUAACCUAUUCAAGUUGAAAUGAAUGCCUGCCUUAAGGCAAAUCUAUGUUCAGCUCGAGGGCAGUUGUAAUGCGCUCAUGAUAACUAUCAAAUUGAGGGAAUUAAUAUAUCAAUAUGCACAAAUCUUCACCAAAGUUGUAACUGAACACCCCCAAAGUAUAAGUGUGCAAAAGAAGAAUGUAUUAAAUCAUAAUUCUGAAAUUAACACAAAUAUAUGAAACAAAGAUCUAAUCGAAACAGAUUUUGGACAAUGGAAAUGCAUAAAGAAGUUACAGAUCGGAGAACGAAACGUGAGACGAAUGAAGCUUGAACGGGAUUUUAGGUGAACUCCAAAAAUACAGUUUGAGAGGAAUUAUGGAUGUGAAUAGGGUUUCACAAAAACAACUAUUCACAUCCAAACAUUAAUUGUCCAAAGCAAAGUUAACCCGGAAUUAAAUUUGUUUAAUUGAAUAGGAAACAUUUAUUGGAAUCAUCAAAAUGCUAUAAGUAGUUACCGGUUGGAAAUAACAAUAAUCCAAAAGCACAAUUAAACAGGAAAAAAAUAAAUUUAAUUUAAUAGGAAAAAGUUUUUAGAAUCAUUGAAAUGCAGCAAGAAGUUACCUAUCGGAGAGCAAAGCGUGAGAUGAACAAAUUCUUGGAUGGGAUAUAAAAUCAACUUCCAAAUAAUUGUUGGAAGAACUGGAGGUUUCACAUGCAACACUUGCUGUCUGUAUGUCACGCUGUGUGCGAGUGUGAGAUCUAGUAGCUCAAAAAGCACUUUCGGUCUCUCUCUUAAAUACAGAAAAGGUAGACUAGAUAGAACGGAAACGAAAAAGACACAAAAAUACAAAAGCACGGUUGCGUGAAAUUAAAUUAAACUAUUAUUUAAUAGAGAAAAAAUAAGAUGUCUGAAUUAAAUAAUGGCGAACAAAAUGUGAGAUUAACAAAAUCUUGAACGCAAUAUGAUGUGAAAUUAAAAAAUCAGUGGCUGAAGAAUCGCGGAUGGAAUUAGGUUUCCACAAAGUUAACCAUUUCUGUGGCAAAAAGCAGUUUCAAUUUCUCUUUCUCCCUUUCUCUAAUAUACCAAAAUAUAUAUAUAUAUAUAUAUAUAUAUAUAUAUAUAUAUAUAUAUAUAUAGAGAGAGAGAGAGAGAGCGACUAUAGACUAUGAACAAUUAUUCUUAAACUCAACAUGAAAAAUUGAGUUCGAUAAAGAAACUUUAUGGCUGGCUAGUUGGAUAGAGAAAACAUAGAUCAAAUUAAUUUUACCUAUAGACAGAUAGAUCAUAUAAAUAUAUAGAGAAAUGGUCUGAAACACAAACACGGACAAAAAAUAAGAUAAUGAAAAUAACAUACUCAAAUUGCCAUCAAACUUUGCACAAAGGCAAUUCUAAUGCACAGGUGCUUGUUAUAUAUAUAGAACUAAUAUAACCAACAACAUAGGCCCCGUUAACAAAACCAAAAGAGAGAGUACAACAAAACCAAAGCAAAAUAAAAAAUAAUAAUCUAAAAAAAUAGCAUUGAGAUAUCACAAUUAAAAUUCUUAGGAAAUCGCAGGUUGUAAUGGAUCUGCUCAUGGAGUAUAGGAGAUUACACAGUGCAUAAUAAAAUAAUCAUUCCCCGAACAACUUGUGCAUUUUGCCAAUUUUAAGCUAUAAUAUGAUUAUAGCUUAUUUGUAACCUGCGGUAACCACCUAUUUUAAGAUAUGAGCUACAAUCUUAAGCAAAUAAGCUGCAAUAAAUGCGGCUAUCAUAAUUAGCAUAACAAACAUCAUUAUCAUGAUCAAAAUUAUUAGGGAUAAACUAUAUUUUCCAAUAUAACAACAUCAUCUUAACAUCACUUCAAUUUUACAAUUAUCAAACCGAGAAGAGAAUAAGGAAGAAAAUAAUGUAGAUAAAUCUUCACCCAAGUCCAAACUGAACAAACAUGCAAAAUAAAAUGUAAUUAUUCAUGAUUCUAACAAUAAGUUAAUCUGAGUAACAGAUAUUGUAAUCAUCAAAAUGCAGUAAUAAGUUACCGAUCGGAGAGCGAAGAGAGAGAGGAACGCAAUUUUGAGAAAAUUGAGAGCUUAUGAGAGUAAUUGUGGAUGAAAUUAGGGUUUCACUGCAUCAGCAUUUGUAGUGAGUCGGCAAUAGUGUGGGCGAUAGUGAGAAAAACAGCAGCUCAAAAAGCGGUUUCGAACUCUCUCUCUUUCUCUCUAAAAACAGAAGAAGAUGGAGAGAGAGAAUAGCGUAGAUAAAGAAAAAGGACGACGAAGAAGACGUACAAAUCCAAAGCACGGUUGACGCGGAAUGCCGCCAAGCCCAGUAUGUCCA